AUGACCAUGAAAUACAUCGUGGGCAACAUCAUCGGUUUUGUCCAUCGGUCGAUAAGUCAUCCAUCCAUAGCUGGCGGCCGGCCAAGGCGGCUGCGACCCCGAGUCCUUCUGCCACUGGAAGAACUACUCCGACGACGACGGCAUGAACGACGACGACGGUAUGUUAGGGCAGAGCAGACACGUGUACGAAGUCACGGUCUGCUACAAGUUAGUCUCCUAGUUUUUUUCGAAAGUCUUUUAGUUAAACGAAUGAAAAUUUGUCCGUUUUAUGUAAAUUAUGUCCCAACUUUAAUCAGUUCCAUUGUGUUUGUUGAAUUUUGUUUGGUUUGUUAA
rnacentral:rRNA from 1 species